rnacentral:rRNA from 1 species
UACGUAGGGGGCAAGCGUUGUCCGGAAUCAUUGGGCGUAAAGCGCGCGUAGGCGGCCCGGUAAGUCCGUUGUGAAAGUCAAAGGCUCAACCUUUGAACGCCGAUGGAUACUGCCGGGCUAGAGUCCGGAAGAGGCGAGUGGAAUUCCUGGUGUAGCGGUGGAAUGCGCAGAUAUCAGGAGGAACACCAAUAGCGAAGGCAGCUCGCCGGGACGGUACUGACGCUGAGGCGCGAAAGCGUGGGGAGCGAACAGG